rnacentral:rRNA from 1 species
CCAGGGUCAUCGGAUCCCACAAAGGGGUAGUGAAAUUCAUAAUGACAGCAGGACGGUGGACAUGGAGGUCGUUAGCCGCUCAGAAGUGUGUAACAACUUACCUGCCGAAUGAAUUGGCCCCGAAAAUGGAUGGCGCUAAACCCUGGAUCUUAUACUUGAUGGGGAUUGUUAAGAUAUUUACAAUUCUCUGUAGGAGGGCGUGAAGAUAGAUUAGAAGUCCAAGACGUAAGUCUAGAUGAAUCUAUCUUUAGUGCCGAUCUUGGUGGUAGUAGCAACGAUUUGGGUGAGAACCCCAAACACCGAAGUGGAGAAAGGUUUCACAGGAAGGGUAAUCCGCUGUGAGUGAGUCGGACCUAAGGGUGAGCGUAAUAGCGAGAAGUUGGAUGCGCAAGCAUCAUUCGCCCGAAAGGCAAGAGGGUUAUCAUUCCCUCACCGAGAAAAAAGGAUGUUAAGUGGUAACACAACAGUAGUUAUUGAGAAGGAGUGUCGACGGA